rnacentral:rRNA from 1 species
GGAUCCAGACUUUGAUCAUGGCUCAGGACGAACGCUGGCGGCGCGCCUAACACAUGCAAGUCGAACGGAGCUUAGAGAGCUUGCUUUUUAAGCUUAGUGGCGAACGGGUGAGUAACGCGUGAGUAACCUGCCCUAGAGUGGGGGACAACAGUUGGAAACGACUGCUAAUACCGCAUAAGCCCACGGUACCGCAUGGUACUGAGGGAAAAGGAUUUAUUCGCUUUAGGAUGGACUCGCGUCCAAUUAGCUAGUUGGUGAGGUAACGGCCCACCAAGGCGACGAUUGGUAGCCGGACUGAGAGGUUGAACGGCCACAUUGGGACUGAGACACGGCCCAGACUCCUACGGGAGGCAGCAGUGGGGGAUAUUGCACAAUGGGGGAAACCCUGAUGCAGCGACGCCGCGUGGAGGAAGAAGGUUUUCGGAUUGUAAACUCCUGUCGUUAGGGACGAUAAUGACGGUACCUAACAAGAAAGCACCGGCUAACUACGUGCCAGCAGCCGCGGUAAAACGUAGGGUGCAAGCGUUGUCCGGAAUUACUGGGUGUAAAGGGAGCGCAGGCGGGAAGACAAGUUGGAAGUGAAAACCAUGGGCUCAACCCAUGAAUUGCUUUCAAAACUGUUUUUCUUGAGUAGUGCAGAGGUAGAUGGAAUUCCCGGUGUAGCGGUGGAAUGCGUAGAUAUCGGGAGGAACACCAGUGGCGAAGGCGGUCUACUGGGCACCAACUGACGCUGAGGCUCGAAAGCAUGGGUAGCAAACAGGAUUAGAUACCCUGGUAGUCCAUGCCGUAAACGAUGAUACUAGGUGUUGGGGGAUUGACCCCCUCAGUGCCGCAGUUAACACAAUAAGUAAUCCACCUGGGGAGUACGACCGUCAAGGUUGCAACUCAAAUGAAUUGACGG